AAGCUAUUCUUGAAAUGGGUUUUCAAGGAAUGUGAUCUUGAGACACCAAGUGAUUGUUUGAGCAUUGAUCUUUUCAAAGGAAGUGAGCCAUUCUCAAGGUUUCUGUGAGAACUGAGUUGGAGACAACAAGUGAUUGUUUGAGCAUUGAUCUUUUCAAAGGAAGUGAGCUAUUCUCAAGGUUUCUGUGAGAAUUAAGAGUGGAGAAGAGAGUUUGUGACAAAGCUGUAGAAGCCAUUGUGUGUGUGGAGGAAGAAAGAGAGGUUUAGGAAUUAUUUGAAGAUGGAGAGGGGUUGGUGCCUUGGGUGGGGGCGAGAAUAACGAAGUGGAGGGGUUUGAGGAAUUUAAGCGUGAAGAUUGGCUGAGUGAAGAAAGGUGAGAAAUGAGACUGAAGUGUGGAGCAGAGGCGGAGCUAACAACAAUUGGUGACAGUGGAGAUGUUG
rnacentral:lncRNA from 1 species